AAUGGCCAGGGGGAGGAAAGCCCCUCCCCAGUCCCUAUUUAUAGGCUUUGUGUCCUGCAGGUGAGAGACCUGCCAGGAGCAGAGCAGGGGCCAGGUCACCCCGGGGUAUACCGUCCCCCAGCCCCCCACUGCAAAACUGGGUUAAUGCCUCAGGGAGAUUUCCGUAACCUAAGUUCAAGGGAAAGUCUGGCAUGGGUGUUCCUUCCUCUCCCUCCCCACCCUACAGUGGCACCUGAGCCUCAGGUCCUCUCGGCCCUCCCCCAGGGUGGUGAUCAUGAACUCGAUCCUGGAGCGCAUGUGUGCCGACGUGCUGCAGCAGACAGCCACGCAGAUCAAGUUUCCCUCCACCGGGGUGGACACAAUGCCCUACUGGAACCUGCUGCCCCCCAAGCGGCCCAUCAAAGAGGUGCUGACGGACAUCUUUGCCAAGGUGCUGGAGAAGGGCUGGGUGGACAGCCGCUCCAUCCACAUCUUUGACACCCUGCUGCACAUGGGCGGCGUCUACUGGUUCUGCAACAACCUGAUUAAGGAGCUGCUGAAGGAGACGCGGAAGGAGCACACGCUGCGGGCAGUGGAGCUGCUCUACUCCAUCUUCUGCCUGGACAUGCAGCAAGUGACCCUGGUCCUGCUGGGCCACAUCCUGCCUGGCCUGCUCACUGACUCCUCCAAGUGGCACAGCCUCAUGGACCCCCCGGGCACUGCUCUUGCCAAGCUGGCCGUGUGGUGUGCCCUCAGUUCCUACUCCUCCCACAAGGGACAGGCGUCCACCCGCCAGAAGAAGAGA
rnacentral:sRNA from 1 species